UCUGUCUAUGAAUUUGACUACUCUGUGUACCUCCUGUUCUAUCAUUUCAUAAUUUCAUUUGUCUGUAACACCUGAAAACGUGACAAAGACUUGAAGGUCUUAUUCAUAUGACAGUAUUUGUGUGAGAAAUGAUCAAAACAGAAAACAUCCGCGGCUGCGCUUGCUACUGGUCCUCACUGGAGACUGAACACUCAUCCUGAU